rnacentral:SRP_RNA from 1 species
ACCCAUCCGGAGGGAUGGGGAAUCACCUUUACCACCGAACCGGGUCAGGCCCGGAAGGGAGCAGCCCUAAGGUGGACGUUCGGUGCUGCCGGGUAACUGGGGGAAGGGUAUGG